rnacentral:lncRNA from 1 species
CCACCGUUGCCUUUUCCGAAAGGUAAGAAAGAUUUAUCGCAAGUGGAAGUGUAGGAGUAUGACGUGGUACGAACGGGACCAGUCGAAGAAGAAUUGAAGGCAAAGUCAAAUCCACCAAUGUAAGCUCCAUUAGCCAAAACAAAUCUAACUGGAACAAAGCUAUCCUGUUCAAGAUAACCUAAAUCAAAGGUUCCCAUACCAUAGGCACCUAUUCUCCAGUGAGCGUAUGCAUCAUAGUUAACAUUUGACCAUCCAGAAAUUGCCUUGUCUCCGAACCAACCGAAGAAAGCAUCAUCGACGUUCUUAACGAAUAAACUCCAGUUAUCAGUAGCAGGAACCCUGAAGAAAAAUUGAUAAACAAUUGUUUUGCAUGAAGAUGAAGUGGAAGACAUCCCUUCAGGAUUAGGAGGAUAAGCAGGAAGAUAAUCGGAAGCAGAAUAGGUGGGAAUGUCAUCAAGAGAUGAAAAUAUACCAGUAAAAAGAGGCGCACUCUGCUUUAAGUCUUUAGAUCCAAAAUAGGCUGGCUUAUUAAAAGUGCUCACCUCGGUAUAACCAUUCGAAGGGUGACAGAAUGUAGACUCAGAAGGCAAGUCAUAAUUGUAUACCGCGUAUUCUAAUCCACGAACUCCAUCACAUAUUUGAGUUGGAAUAACUUGAUAAGUUGUGGAUGAAGAAACGAAUGUUGUACCUGAUGUUCCACUAUAAAUUGUAGAAACUGGUGUACUUGAAACAGUAGAGCUUAUUGAACUGCUUACAAUGACAUUGUCAGUUGUUGAGCUUGAAGCACUUAUAGUUUGAGAUGAUGAAGGAAUGAAUGAGUCAGAAGAACUAACAGUUGUGAUAGGGAUACUGGAAGAUGAAUACUCAGACGAAGUCGAACUUGAGCUGCUUAUAGAAAGUUGGCCAGAGGUGGUGUUCGUAGCACUUGAAGUAUGGGUUGAAAUCGGGACAAAUGUGCUAGAGGAACUGGAUGGAGUUUCGGGGGUGAUAGUAGAAGUAAACUCGGAUGAUCCAGAGCUAUAGAUGGUUGUGUAACGAACGCAACUGCCAGUUUCCACCGAGACGCUGCUUGAACGAGCAGCGCUCGUAAAAAAAAGCAGUGUAAAUAUUAAGGAAAUGUACGAAUUCAUCGUAAAUUUUUUAGAAAAAUAUUCAAUCUAGCACUGAUUAGAACGUGGUUCCAAAUCUGUUCGGUUUUAGAAGAAUAGAUUAUGUCUAGAUUUGAACGUUCUACAAGGAGAAUCGGGUUUUUUAUACUAAAAAAAUUUUUAAAUGUGGAAUUUAAGACAAAGGCUAUGAAUGUAACUCAACUUCUUCAUAUUUAGAUGCUUUCUAUAUAUAGAGUAUACUCCUUGUUUUUUCCCAGCAAAGUAACUAUUGGUGUACACCAAGUUUGCAAAAAUGAUAACCAGUGUUGCUACUUUCGGAAAAUUUAAGUUGUUGCUGCGAAAAUCUAAAAAUAUUAAUAACGUUAAUUGGUCAAUUAGAAACGCCUAACUAAAGAUCUAUUCGAUUCCAUACAAAACAGAAGAAAGAAGUAACGAUAAAAUGUCUUUCAUAUUGGUUUUGAAAUAAACCGGGCAUCAAGCGAAGCUCAAGUCGAAAUGAAAGCUCGAAUCACUAAAUCCUUUUCAUUCUCAUGAACCUAUUUUCCUUUUUUUUUUUUGAUACGUUCGGUAGCAUGUUUGCUAUAUUCUCAUCCUUUAAGUGUUUGAUUUUAUAUAGCAAAAACAAUACACAAAUUGAUAUGAUAGCUUAAAAUUGUGAUUGUUGGAUAUAUACAAUACGCUAUUUGUAGUAAGUACGCCGCUUAAUUAUAUUUAAUGAAUUUUAUGGAGUUGCGUCCCGUUUUAACAUUUUCUUUAUUUGUCAGCUACACAGUUUGGUAUCUGGUUUAACGUGUCAGCAAAACUAGACUACGUUGCGCAUUACUAUAUGCCAUAUGUUAAAACACUACUUAAGAUCGGCUUACAAGAUAAUCACGAAAUACUAUCCAUCUAUCAGUUCAGAUACCCGUUGAUUACAGUUUUAAAAUUGAUUGUAAAUAGAGCUACAACUGAACCUCGUUCCUCAGCUCAGUUAUAAGCUAUACCAG